rnacentral:rRNA from 1 species
CCUUCUGGACUGACACUGACACUGAGGUGCGAAAGCGUGGGUAGCAAACAGGAUUAGAUACCCUGGUAGUCCACGCCGUAAACGAUGUCGACUAGCCGUUGGGUCCCUUGAGGACUUUGUGGCGCAGUUAACGCGAUAAGUCGACCGCCUGGGGAGUACGGCCGCAAGGUUAAAACUCAAAUGAAUUGACGGGGGCCCGCACAAGCGGUGGAGCAUGUGGUUUAAUUCGAUGCAACGCGAAGAACCUUACCUACCCUUGACAUCGUGCGAACUUGGUAGAGAUACCUUGGUGCCUUCGGGAGCGCACAGACAGGUGCUGCAUGGCUGUCGUCAGCUCGUGUUGUGAAAUGUUGGGUUAAGUCCCGUAACGAGCGCAACCCUUGUCCCUAUUUGCCAGCGAUUCGGUCGGGAACUCUAGGGAGACUGCCGGUGACAAACCGGAGGAAGGUGGGGACGACGUCAAGUCAUCAUGGCCCUUACGGGUAGGGCUACACACGUGCUACAAUGGCCGGUACAAAGGGUUGCGAAGCCGCGAGGUGGAGCCAAUCCCGAAAAGCCGGUCUCAGUCCGGAUCGGAGUCUGCAACUCGACUCCGUGAAGUCGGAAUCGCUAGUAAUCGUGAAUCAGAAUGUCACGGUGAAUACGUUCCCGGGCCUUGUACACACCGCCCGUCACACCAUGGGAGUGGACUGCAC